rnacentral:sRNA from 1 species
AUCCACGGGGCGCGAGUGACACGCGGGAGGGAGAGCAGUGUUCUGCUGGAGCCGAUGCCAAAAACCAUGCAUUUCUUAUUCAGAUUCAUUGUUUUCUUUUAUCUGUGGGGCCUUUUUACUGCUCAGAGACAAAAGAAAGAGGAGAGGACCGAAGAAGUGAAAAUAGAAGUUUUGCAUCGUCCAGAAAACUGCUCUAAGACAAGCAAGAAGGGAGACCUACUAAAUGCCCAUUAUGACGGCUACCUGGCUAAAGACGGCUCGAAAUUCUACUGCAGCCGGACACAAAAUGAAGGCCACCCCAAAUGGUUUGUUCUUGGUGUUGGGCAAGUCAUAAAAGGCUUAGACAUUGCUAUGACGGAUAUGUGCCCUGGAGAAAAGCGAAAAGUAGUUAUACCCCCUUCAUUUGCAUAUGGAAAGGAAGGCUAUGAUAAACCUCUACUUGCAAAGGGAAUUUGAAAAAGAUGAGAAGCCACGUGACAAGUCAUAUCAGGAUGCAGUUUUAGAAGAUAUUUUUAAGAAGAAUGACCAUGAUGGUGAUGGCUUCAUUUCUCCCAAGGAAUACAAUGUAUACCAACACGAUGAACUAUAGCAUAUUUGUAUUUCUACUUUUUUUUAGCUAUUUACUGUACUUUAUGUAUAAAACAAAGUCACUUUUCUCCAAGUUGUAUUUUCUAUUUUUCCCCUGUGAGAAGAUAUUUUGAUCUCCCCAAUACAUUGAUUUUGGUAUAAUAAAUGUGAGGCUGUUUUGCAAACUUAACUUGUAGGAACGGUAUGAUUGUGUUUCUUAUUGCUUUAUUCUGUAAACAAGAAUUGUAGCACCAUGAAACAGACCUCUGGGUCCCAGUGGGCAUUUUUUUCCCCUUUCAGGAGGUAGGAGGACAUGUAUAGUAUGUCAAAAACUGCAAGCUUUUCCCAACUUUAACCUUACCAGCAUGUUAAUAUCCAGUUUUUUUACAGUUUAAAGGUUAAAGUGCCUCAUAUUUUUAAAAUAUCCAGUAAGGACCCAGGAAUUAGCAUUUCACUUGUUUAUACAUUUUAUAACAUUAUGGAGAGGAUAUAAAAAUCCUAGAACUGGAGAGUCUUCUUUUGGUAUAUGUGCA